CUUGGUCAUUUAGAGGAAGUAAAAGUCGUAACAAGGUUUCCGUAGGUGAACCUGCGGAAGGAUCAUUACAAGUGAGGCUACCGAACGUUGGAAACAGCGGUUAGGAGCUUACACCCACCCGUGUUUACAUACUAUUGUUGCUUUGGCGGGCCGUGGCCUCCACUGCGGGCUCUGCUCGUGUGUGCCCGCCAGAGAACCAAACUCUGAAUGUUAGUGAUGUCUGAGUACUAUCUAAUAGUUAAAACUUUCAACAACGGAUCUCUUGGUUCUGGCAUCGAUGAAGAACGCAGCGAAAUGCGAUAAGUAAUGUGAAUUGCAGAAUUCAGUGAAUCAUCGAAUCUUUGAACGCACAUUGCGCCCUGUGGUAUUCCGCAGGGCAUGCCUGUUCGAGCGUCAUUUAACCACUCACGCCUAGCGUGGUAUUGGGGCACGCGGUCUCCGCGGCCCUCAAAAUUAGUGGCGGCGCCGGUGGGCUCUAAGCGUAGUACAUACUCCCGCUAUAGAGUCCCCCCGGUGGCUCGCCAGAACCCCCAAUUUUUACAGGUUGACCUCGGAUCAGGUAGGGAUACCCGCUGAACUUAAGCAUAUCAAUAAGCGGAGGA
rnacentral:sRNA from 1 species